rnacentral:rRNA from 1 species
UACGUAGGGCGCAAGCGUUGUCCGGAAUCAUUGGGCGUAAAGAGCUCGUAGGUGGUCUGUUACGUCUGCUGUGAAAUCCUAGGGCUUAACCCUGGGCCUGCAGUGGAUACGGGCAGACUAGAGGUAGGUAGGGGAGAAUGGAAUUCCCGGUGUAGCGGUGAAAUGCGCAGAUAUCGGGAGGAACACCGGUGGCGAAGGCGGUUCUCUGGGCCUUACCUGACACUGAGGAGCGAAAGCGUGGGGAGCGAACAGG